CCACCAUUUAAUGAAAACAGCAUAUUCAAGAUCAGUCCCUAGCAGGCCUAAAGGACACAAACAGGUGACCCAGAUCUCAUGUCACCUACUUAUGUUGCACCAAUGUGUUUCCUUCAGCUCCUGGUUGUAGGGAGUUCUCUAUCACCAGCUGAUGGAGAAGGAAAACCUUGGGCCUACUUCACAGAUAAGUCAACUCCAUAUUCCGGUUGAACCCAAAAAUGUACCACUAUCUCCCAGUAGCCUGCUGCAAGGGUAGCCCUGAAAUUCAGCAGUGAAGGGAAAUCUUCCCAUUGGAGAGGGCCUUGAACACUUGAACUGAUCCCCAACCUGAUGUGGCGGGAGAAGGGCCCUGAGGUUACGACAGUCACAUACCCACAAGCAGUAGAGAAUGGCUUAGCUGGCUAUGGUCAAGAGCCUGGAAAGGGCAAGAUUGCAAAAUGAGGAAAAAUGGGGUGGAUCAUUCUCAUUGUCCACUAGAGAGCAUUCCCACAGAGCAGGCAUUGAACAACCAAACAGACAGGAUCCUGAGGAUGUCAGCCCACUGCUGCCCUUAAGCGCCCCAGUGAAUGAAGCUUUGAUAACAGUGACUUAAAUACAUGGGUCUGAAGACCAAGGGCUGGCAGAAGAGGUAGCCCUUCUUAGCACCAUUCCCAGUGACCCACCGGAGGAAUCCAUGCCUCUUGUCCCUGCACAUUUAGGAUCUGAUGAACCUGAUUCCAGGGUCGGGGGGAAAUACCUGAAGCAGGAGACACAGUAAGGGUUCCUCUAAUCCUAAAGUGAGGGCUGUUCCCUGGUCAUUUUGGGGUCCUCAUGCCAGCAUACCAGCAAGCAAAGAAAGAAAUUAUCAAACCAGGAGGGGAAAUUGACCUGAUUCCAUGAGCAGUUAGGAUUUCUGCUACAUCAUGGGGGCAGAAAGGAACAGGUCUGGAAUUCAAGAGAUCUGCUGGGGAUGCUGCUUUGUGCUUCUGCGCCCAGGGAUAAGCAUGAAUGGGCAACUCUCUCAACCAACGGCCUGACAAAGUCACAGUAGCCAGGGGCUCAGCCUCUCAGGGAUAAUGGCUUGGUCCAUCCCACCAGGCAAGCAAAAUGUAGCAGAAAUGCUGGCUGAGUGCCAGGAGAAUGUAGAACCAGUUGGUGGUGAAAGAGCAACAUGAUGAUUAUCACUUACAACCUCAGAAUCAACCACAGCAGCAAAAACUUCGUCUCACUAGCCCCUUAGUUGUCUUUUUUAUUUUAUUAGGAUCGGUCACAUUUGAAAGAAACAGUCAGGUUGCAGUCAGGUUAACUGGGCCAUGAGGGGGUCUGAGUAGUGCAAGGGGAGGAUCAGAAUAGACGCUGUCAGUUCCCUGUCCAUAUCCCCUGCACACUUACCGUUCCAGUACACACCAACAGCAUCCCUACACCUGCAGCUCUCCCCCUAGAGCUCGCCUGAAGUGCUGGGGAAUCAAGGUACCCAGAGGUGUUGAUAUGAGUGGGAUGCUGAUGAUAGGGAGGUGAGGGAGGAUUCACACUGGGUUUCCUCAGCCUUCAGCAUGAUGUAAUCAUUUCACAAUACACAUAUAUAUCAAAAUACCAUGCUGUACACAUAAAUAAACAUAACUUUUUGUCAACUAAGAAAAUAUUUGUUAGGUUACAAACUCCCAAUAGGGAAAUUUAAAGCACCCUGAGUUUGAUAUCUGGGGCUCUCCUUGGUAUCCCUAAAAUCACACCACGUAGACAGCUACAACUCACCUAUGCCUAAAACACCUUUAGGGAGCCUUUGAGAACUCAUGGCUCAUGGAUCCCAGCAAUGCAAGAAGAUCCCACCCUAAAUCCAAACACAGAGGGAGGGGAUAGAGGGAAACCCUUGAGGAAAUGAAUCAAGAAGCAGCGAGGCACCAAGAAGGAAGAAACCAAAGAGGAGGCGACAGACUAAGGGCUUGAGGGGAGAGAAAGCCAGGAGAGAAACUACACACAGUCACCCACAAGCAAACAAAACCUGCACAUACACACAGUCAAAGGAGAAGCAUCAGCCGAGACCACAGAUGAAAUUUAAAGUUGUUAUGGCAACCAGAAC
rnacentral:lncRNA from 10 species